CUCUUCCUUUGGGCUUGAGUACCUAACAUUGGUAUCAGAACCUAGGUGCCCGAUGCUGCGGGUCUUGGUGACGUGACGUGCCGCCUCGUGAUUACCGCCUUGGGAGUAUGGGCUCCAAGGGACUUGGUGACGAGGGACUGGGCGACGUGAUUACUGCCGUGGGCGUCGGGUCUUCCGAAGGGUGGUGUAAUGUUAUGAUCCCACAUUGACUACACUUAUGGGAGUGUAGGGGUUCUUAAGUCCUUGGGGUCCUCCCACCUAUUGGACUAGUCUUUUGGGUUGGGCUCUUCCUUUGGGCUUGAGUACCUAACAUUUAUUGUUAUGAACCCAAUUUGUAAUUGAGGUUUAUGCUUAAAGUAAAGAGUCAAAUUAGUUGUAAUUGAUGGUUUUUACUGGUUAUUAGGGGAAUUUGAUAGAAAUGCCAGCUGGCAGUCACACUUCAUGUAUAAGAGCACAUGCUCUUUGGUUUGAAACGGAACAGAAUUUAACAAAACAAAUCAAUACAAAAAUAUUGGAGCUCUGCUCCUUCUAUCUUCCUCCUUCAUUCCCUUCUAUGUGCAAUAGUUAAGGUUUGAGUUAGGGUUUAAGAUUUGGGUUCUAACAAUGGUAUCAGAGCCUAGGUGCCCGACGAUGCGGGUCUUGGUGACGUGACGUGCCGCCUCGUGAUUACCGCCUUGGGAGUAUGGGCUCCAAGGGACUUGGUGACGAGGGACUGGGCGACGUGAUUACCGCCGUGGGCGUCGGGUCUUCCGAAGGGUGGUGUAAUGUUAUGAUCCCACAUCGACUACACUUAUGGGAGUGCAAGGGUUCUUAAGUCCUUGGGGUCCUCCCACCUAUUGGACUAGUCUUUUGGGUUGGGCUCUUCCCUUGGGCUUGAGUACCUAACAUUGGUAUCACCCAUAUCAAUUCCUGGAUUCCCUUCUGUGCACACCCGCCAAUCCGCUGCUACUUGCGACAUUGCCUUGGAAUCCCGUCUUGCUUCCUUGGAGGCUUGCGUCGCUGCUUUACCUUCCCUCAUCACCGCUGCGAUCGACCAGGCCUUCGCCGACUCUCUUACACAAUUUCGUCGCGACAUGUUCUUUCAAGGUGCCGGGGAAGGUAUCUCUGCCCC
rnacentral:lncRNA from 1 species